rnacentral:tRNA from 1 species
AUUAAGGUGGCAGAGCCAGGUUUAAUGCAAGAGGCCUAAACUCUCUAUAUCAGAUGUUCAAAUCAUCUCCCUAAUA